rnacentral:rRNA from 1 species
AGUGAACGCUGGCGGUAGGCCUAACACAUGCAAGUCGAACGGCAGCACAGUAAGAGCUUGCUCUUACGGGUGGCGAGUGGCGGACGGGUGAGGAAUACAUCGGAAUCUACUUUUUCGUGGGGGAUAACGUAGGGAAACUUACGCUAAUACCGCAUACGACCUACGGGUGAAAGCAGGGGAUCUUCGGACCUUGCGCGAUUCAAUGAGCCGAUGUCGGAUUAGCUAGUUGGCGGGGUAAAGGCCCACCAAGGCGACGAUGCGUAGCUGGUCUGAGAGGAUGAUCAGCCACACUGGAACUGAGACACGGUCCAGACUCCUACGGGAGGCAGCAGUGGGGAAUAUUGGACAAUGGGCGCAAGCCUGAUCCAGCCAUACCGCGUGGGUGAAGAAGGCCUUCGGGUUGUAAAGCCCUUUUGUUGGGAAAGAAAAGCAGCAGGUUAAUACCCCGCUGUUCUGACGGUACCCAAAGAAUAAGCACCGGCUAACUUCGUG